rnacentral:ribozyme from 1 species
UGCCCUGCAAGUCCUAUCCCUACCUCCUUGUGGUACUGGCCGGGGUACGAGUAACCUUAGGGAAGAUUGGGUAAUCAACCCUGGCGAGAACUUUGGCCGUAAACUGACAGGAAAGU